rnacentral:tRNA from 1 species
GCUCGGUUAGUUCAGUUGGUAGAGCAUCAGACUUUUAAUCUGAGGGCCAUGGGUUCGAGUCCCAUAUCGGGCU